AAAAAAAAAAAAAAAAAAAAAAAAAACGUCACAAGUGAUUUUGUUGUUGGAUAGCUCCAGUUUGUUUGCUGGAUAAUUGGAAGGAUACUCAUGUUGUUUUAUCUGAACCUGUCAAUCUGACUGAGGUUCAAUUUUAGAGUAAAUUGUUUAUGGAAAUUUUUAGAGUUGUAUAUUCCAAGUGGCAUCUCACGUGAUAUUAAAAGUUAUUUUUUAAUAUAGAUUAUAAAAUAAUCGUUAUUUCUAUCUUUUAAAUAAUCUAUUAUAAAAUGAAUUUCACAUAAGCAUUCUUAGAACAUGUAGCUACUGUACAUAUAGAAAUUUAUAGGUGCUACAAUUUUAAUAUCAGGUAUAUUUAGAGGGUUAUGCUCCGCUUGCGAUAUGCUCAUGUAAUGCAUAUAUGUGUGGGCGCUCGGGGGAAAAAGUGAAAGUGCUCUAAUUUUAACGUUAUUUUACUAAUUUCGUGAAAAUAACGUUAAAAGAGGGGAUGGUUAAUCAUGCAUCAUGUGGUGGUGCUGAUAGCCGAAAGACAAGGGGUACAUGCACUAAUCGGCGUUUGUCUCAAUUGCUGAGUGUUAUGUGCCUUAUGUCCAAGGCUUGAUACAAAACUACUAUCGCGCCGGAGGUCUCACUGGAAGCAGCCUCUCUAUUCCUACGGGGUAGAGGUAAGGUUGUCUACAUCUUACCCUCCUCAGUCCCUACCUUAGCUUUGCUAUUGGUGUGAUAUAUUGAGUAUGAUGAUGAUGAUGAUUAAAGAAGCCUAAGCUCAACAAGGGUCAAUCAAACAAUGGCCUGAUUUCAUUGUGCUUCUCAUUGCUCUUACUUAUUGUUGUAAAUAUGGUUCUACUGAUGUUAAAAUUGUUUUACGUUAAACAGGCUAUGGUGAAGCUGUAAAUAAUUUGUGAAAGUGGAAACCAACCAAGGCCCACACAAAUGACUUCUUUAACCAUUCUUCUUGCAAUUAGGGAUUUCCCAGGGACUGGAUAUGAAUCAAAGAGACAUUAUUACCGCCAGGUAGAUCUAAAGGUAUGAGUUCUUUUAACAUUUAAGUGUAUUACAUUUAUGAUAACAGUUGUGGACAAAUAACUGUUACUAUGACUGUUGAAUAUGUUUAUGAUUGUUAAUUGGAUUUGUAUUUGAUAUAUUUGAUUUUAUGUGUUAGGUUAUUAGUGUGUAAGGCAGUGUUGCAAAAGUCGGAUUCCUCGGCCGAGUACUCGGCGAGUACUCGGUCCUCGGACCUCCACCUUGGCGACUUCCUCCUAGGCGGUCUCAACUAGUCGGCCUCGGGAGUACUCGGUCCUAGUCGGCCUAGUCGGAGCCUAGUCGGCCUAGUCGGAGCCUAGUCGGCCUAGUCGGUCUAGGCGGUCAACGUGGUUUGUUGACUUUUAAUCGGUCAAAAUCGGCCUACUCGGCCUUGUACUCGGACUACUCGGCCUUGUACUCAGACUAGUCAGACUUGUAUUCAGAAUAUUUUAACUUUAAACAUGUUUCAUUUUAAAUUAUACCUAGUUGACAUGAAUUAUGCUUAUUUUAACACAUAAAUAAUAUAUAACAAUUAAUUUUAUUUAUAUUUACCAUGUCCGUGUACUCCCCGAGUACUCUCCGAGUACUCCGAUUACUCCCAACUCCCCAGUCGGCCGACUAGGGACCGCCUAGCGACUUUUACAACACUGGUGUAAGGUGUGGUUUUAGGUUAUUAGUGGUUGAAUAAUGGUUGUUAUUGAUGUGCUAAAGUUAUAUGAUGUGCUAUAAGGAUUGGAACUGAUGCAAGACACACGUGAACGAUAAAUGAAAGUAAGACUGUUUCUUUUGAAACUUCAAUAUUUUUAGAAUUAUUUUAAUAAUGACAUGUUUGAAAUUCUUUUUUUUUAAGAUUGUUUUUCAUGUUUUAAUGGGGAUACUGUUUAUUUAAGUUUGUUUGAUGAUAGGUAAAUAGUUUUAAAAUUAAAACCUAAGAAAAGGCCUAAGUUGUGUGAUAGAAACCUCACCACUUCAAAUCAUAAUGGGUUGAAUCUGUUUGGGCCGAAUUGGAGGAGCCUAGAACGUGGAUCUGAAAUUUUAAAGGAUUUGACAAAUAAUCCAACUAACCCAGAUAACCCAGUCAAUUAGAAGUUAGCAACAUGGGAAACCGUAUUAGUGGGGAGGGUUGUUAUAUGGGGUAAUCAGUUAGACAUGGUUUUAUUUAAUAAACGUUGUUAGAUUAGGGUGGCGAUGUUUUAUUAUCAAAUUAGGGUUCUUUCCUAAACAUUGGAGAUCAAGCCUAUAUUGACGCUAAUUGGAAUCGUUCUUUCACAAUCAAAGAUUUCAAUUUUCGAUUUUUAUCACUGUGUUCUUUAAAAAUCAACUUUUAAUUUUAAUUGUAUAUGUGAUGGUUUAUUAAAUUUAUGGGUCGGCGGAUCGACAACCGCAAAGGCGGCGCUGUUACACUCAUGAAGAAGCUUCUCAAAGAACCUGUAUUCCCAAUCUGCCCUUUGACUAUUAAUUCUGAGUGUGUCUCAAAACUGAAGGAGUAGAUGCAAAGUAAUUCAUGUGAAAAAACAAUACGAGUCAGCUCUAAUAUUGUUUGGACCAUCUCAUAUAUUUUCAAGUUAUAUGUGAUCCAAUUAAUCAUUGGUAUAAAGGUCUUUUUAUUUUUUUUCUUUAUAUUGUUAUCUUUUUAGUAAAUGAUGAAGUCAAGUAUAGGCUUUAAAUUUAUAAUAUGCUAUAGUUAAUUGGAGUUGCGGACUCAUAUUUUUUGUUUUGUAAGUGAUGUAUUCAAGUGUAAUACCUGACAUAACAACUUCAUUAAAGAACAAAUU
rnacentral:lncRNA from 1 species